CGAACGGCAGCGCGGACUUCGGUCUGGCGGCGAGUGGCGAACGGGUGAGUAAUGCAUCGGAACGUACCUUUCAGUGGGGGAUAACGUAGCGAAAGUUACGCUAAUACCGCAUAUUCUGUGAGCAGGAAAGCAGGGGAUCGCAAGACCUUGCGCUGAUGGAGCGGCCGAUGUCAGAUUAGCUAGUUGGUGGGGUAGAGGCUCACCAAGGCGACGAUCUGUAGCGGGUCUUAGAGGAUGAUCCGCCACACUGGAACUGAGACACGGUCCAGACUCCUACGGGAGGCAGCAGUGGGGAAUUUUGGACAAUGGGCGCAAGCCUGAUCCAGCCAUGCCGCGUGACUGAAGAAGGCCUUCGGGUUGUAAGCUCUUUCGGCCGGGAAAAAAUCGCUUGGGUUAAUACCCUGAGUGGAUGAUGGUACCGGAAUAAGAAGCACCGGCUAACUACGUGCCAGCAGCCGCGGUAAUACGUAGGGUGCGAGCGUUAAUCGGAAUUACUGGGCGUAAAGCGUGCGCAGGCGGUUUUGUAAGACAGGCGUGAAAUCCCCGGGCUCAACCUGGGAACUGCGUUUGUGACUGCAAGGCUAGAGUAUGGCAGAGGGGGGUGGAAUUCCACGUGUAGCAGUGAAAUGCGUAGAGAUGUGGAGGAACACCAAUGGCGAAGGCAGCCCCCUGGGCCAAUACUGACGCUCAUGCACGAAAGCGUGGGGAGCAAACAGGAUUAGAUACCCUGGUAGUCCACGCCCUAAACGAUGUCAACUAGGUGUUGGGUGGGUAAAACCAUUUGGUACCGUAGCUAACGCGUGAAGUUGACCGCCUGGGGAGUACGGCCGCAAGGUUAAAACUCAAAGGAAUUGACGGGGACCCGCACAAGCGGUGGAUGAUGUGGAUUAAUUCGAUGCAACGCGAAAAACCUUACCUACCCUUGACAUGCCAGGAACUUGCCAGAGAUGGCUUGGUGCCCGAAAGGGAGCCUGGACACAGGUGCUGCAUGGCUGUCGUCAGCUCGUGUCGUGAGAUGUUGGGUUAAGUCCCGCAACGAGCGCAACCCUUGUCGUUAAUUGCCAUCAUUUAGUUGGGCACUUUAACGAGACUGCCGGUGACAAACCGGAGGAAGGUGGGGAUGACGUCAAGUCCUCAUGGCCCUUAUGGGUAGGGCUUCACACGUCAUACAAUGGUCGGUACAAAGGGUUGCCAAGCCGCGAGGCGGAGCCAAUCCCAGAAAGCCGAUCGUAGUCCGGAUCGCAGGCUGCAACUCGCCUGCGUGAAGUCGGAAUCGCUAGUAAUCGUGGAUCAGCAUGUCACGGUGAAUACGUUCCCGGGUCUUGUACACACCGCCCGUCACACCAUGGGAGCGGGUUCCGCCAGAAGUAGGUAGCCUAACCGCAA
rnacentral:rRNA from 1 species